rnacentral:rRNA from 1 species
GACGAACGCUGGCGGCGUGCUUAACACAUGCAAGUCGAGCGGUAAGGCCCUUUCGGGGGUACGACGAGCGGCGAACGGGUGAGUAACACGUGGGUGACCUGCCUUUAGCUCUGGGAUAAGCCUGGGAAACUGGGUCUAAUACCGGAUAUGACCCUAUGGCGCAUGUUGUGGGGUGGAAAGCCUUGUGCGGCUAGGGAUGGGCCCGCGGCCUAUCAGCUUGUUGGUGGGGUGAUGGCCUACCAAGGCGACGACGGGUAGCCGGCCUGAGAGGGCGACCGGCCACACUGGGACUGAGACACGGCCCAGACUCCUACGGGAGGCAGCAGUGGGGAAUCUUGCGCAAUGGGCGAAAGCCUGACGCAGCGACGCCGCGUGAGGGAUGACGGCCUU